rnacentral:rRNA from 1 species
UUGACCUACGGGGGGCAGCAGUGGGGAAUAUUGCACAAUGGGGGAAACCCUGAUGCAGCGACGCCGCGUGAGUGAAGAAGUAAUUCGUUAUGUAAAACUCUAUCAGCAGGGAAGAAAAUGACGGUACCUGAGUAAGAAGCCCCGGCUAACUACGUGCCAGCAGCCGCGGUAAUACGUAGGGGGCAAGCGUUAUCCGGAUUUACUGGGUGUAAAGGGGGCGCAGACGGCGAUGCAAGCCAGGAGUGAAAGCGCGGGGCCCAACCCCGGGACUGCGCUUGGAACUGCGUGGCUAGAGUGCAGGAGGG